AAAUUGAAGAGUUUGAUCAUGGCUCAGAUUGAACGCUGGCGGCAGGCCUAACACAUGCAAGUCGAACGGUAACAGGAAACAGCUUGCUGUUUCGCUGACGAGUGGCGGACGGGUGAGUAAUGUCUGGGAAACUGCCUGAUGGAGGGGGAUAACUACUGGAAACGGUAGCUAAUACCGCAUAACGUCGCAAGACCAAAGAGGGGGACCUUCGGGCCUCUUGCCAUCGGAUGUGCCCAGAUGGGAUUAGCUAGUAGGUGGGGUAACGGCUCACCUAGGCGACGAUCCCUAGCUGGUCUGAGAGGAUGACCAGCCACACUGGAACUGAGACACGGUCCAGACUCCUACGGGAGGCAGCAGUGGGGAAUAUUGCACAAUGGGCGCAAGCCUGAUGCAGC
rnacentral:rRNA from 3 species